rnacentral:rRNA from 1 species
CGAUGAAGCCCAGCUUGCUGGGUGGAUUAGUGGCGAACGGGUGAGUAACACGUGAGUAACCUGCCCCUGACUCUGGGAUAAGCGUUGGAAACGACGUCUAAUACUGGAUAUGACCGCCGAUCGCAUGGUCUGGUGGUGGAAAGAUUUUUUGGUUGGGGAUGGACUCGCGGCCUAUCAGCUUGUUGGUGAGGUAAUGGCUCACCAAGGCCACGACGGGUAGCCGGCCUGAGNNNNNGACCGGCCACACUGGGACUG